GACGAACGCUGGCGGCGUGCUUAACACAUGCAAGUCGAACGGAAAGGCCCUGCUUUUGUGGGGUGCUCGAGUGGCGAACGGGUGAGUAACACGUGAGUAACCUGCCCUUGACUUUGGGAUAACUUCAGGAAACUGGGGCUAAUACCAGAUAGGUGCUCCUGCUGCAUGGUGGGGGUUGGAAAGUUUCGGCGGUUGGGGAUGGACUCGCGGCUUAUCAGCUUGUUGGUGGGGUAGUGGCUUACCAAGGCUUUGACGGGUAGCCGGCCUGAGAGGGUGACCGGCCACAUUGGGACUGAGAUACGGCCCAGACUCCUACGGGAGGCAGCAGUGGGGAAUAUUGCACAAUGGGCGGAAGCCUGAUGCAGCAACGCCGCGUGCGGGAUGACGGCCUUCGGGUUGUAAACCGCUUUCGCCUGUGACGAAGCGUGAGUGACGGUAAUGGGUAAAGAAGCACCGGCUAACUACGUG
rnacentral:rRNA from 1 species